rnacentral:rRNA from 1 species
UACGUAGGGAGCAAGCGUUGUCCGGAAUCAUUGGGCGUAAAGCGCGCGUAGGCGGCCCUGUAAGUCCGUUGUGAAAGUCAAAGGCUCAACCUUUGAAAGCCGAUGGAUACUGCAGGGCUAGAGUCCGGAAGAGGCGAGUGGAAUUCCUGGUGUAGCGGUGAAAUGCGCAGAUAUCAGGAGGAACACCAAUGGCGAAGGCAGCACUCUGGGACGUGACUGACGCUGAGACGCGAAAGCGUGGGGAGCAAACAGG